UGGGGAAUAUUGCACAAUGGGGGAAACCCUGAUGCAGCGACGCCGCGUGAGCGAAAGAAGUAUUUCGGUAUGUAAAGCUCUAUCAGCAGGGAAGAAAAAAAUGACGGUACCUGAGUAAGAAGCACCGGCUAAAAUACCGUGCC
rnacentral:rRNA from 1 species